UGGGUUUUCAGUACUUCCUUGGCUACUCUAGCCGAUGAAACCACCACAGUUGGGAUCUCACCAAGUUGUAAGUAAAUUAGUGGACCGUACUUCUCUGCCAAGCGGCGAAGAGAUAUGUGAGGUUUGUUUCUGAGCUGGUGAAGGUUACCGAUGACAGGCAGCUUCGGAGGGCUUGGUGGAAGUUUGAGUUUUCUUUUCCCUGACUUAUCCUUAAGGAAAAACUUGAGCAACAAUAUGAGGAAACUGAAUGCAAGAACCAAAGAGGGUUCCUUUAGCAAUUGAAGAGGAGCCAUUGUAAACCAAAAUUCAGUGCCUCGGAGUUUUUCUUUAGCUUCUGGUAUGGCUCCCCUGUUGCAGUAAUCAAUGUAAAUAGACUGAGACUUGCUUUUGGUUGCACCGGCACCUAGUAGUCAUCAGUCGGCAAGGAAGCCGCCUCAAUUAUUUUGUACCAUUCGGAUUUUCCACCUUGUUUUCUAACAAAUAUGCCAAAAAAAUCCUUAUCUUCUUUUCUGUUUGGCAGUGACAGUUACGGAUGAUGAUACAAUGUGGUCGUGAAAGUAAGUGGCAGAUAGAGAAACAUGCAGAACUAUAAUUGAGCUCCACAGAUAGAAUCUCAAGGAUCUUUGAUACUUCUUUGUUAUGUCACAUGGUUUCAUAAGCAUGCCUCUAGCGAUGACGUUACAGUUAGUAUCAUAAUCUCAGUGCAGGCACAUACUAAUUACCACACACAUAUGGAAAAGUAACGGGGAAACAAAGUAUUCCACACGGCAACUUAUCUCAGGAAACAAAGUAUUCCACACGGCAACUUCCCUGAGGAAAUACUGACUUCUGUGAUAGUGAGAGAUUUGAAUGAUUCAGUGUUCAUCGAUAUAGUCACAUCAGAAUAAAUACAUUUGGUGUGCAUUAGCGUAACGACCCAUCCCUAAAUAUUACGGUUUUUAUAAUUUUAAAAUAUGAAUUUACGAAAAUGCCCUUUGAGGCAAAAACCUUGACUUUUGUUGAUCGUUGUGUCGUGUCAAGUAAGAUUUGUUUUCUUGGCAUAUCCUUGUAGCACUCGUUGCUAGGAGCGUGUGGGCGCAAGCUAAUCGGAUUUGGAGUUAUGAUGAAUAUUUUACGGAAUUUCGCAGUUGAGGGGCAAAAUAGUCAAUUCAUUGUUCUAGAUUUUCGGGUGGGAUAUUUGUCUUAUUUUAUUAUUUUCUGAUGACCUGUGGGGCCCACACCCUAGUUCUUCCCUGUGUCUUUCCCUCCCUUAAGCUUUGGGACACUCUUGAACUCUUCCUCACCUAACUCUCUCAUUCUCCAUUCCUGAGCACCACACACACACAUAUGCAAACAUACAACAACAUCAACGACCUCACCACCAUCACUCUUUUUUUCCCUCAAAUUCCCUCAACUCUUUCUCUCUCUCUCUCUUCGUCUGACUUCUUUUUGUACAAGGGAGCACAUGGACAUCACCUCGUCGUACUCCAGUAAGCUUCUUGAAUCUCUGACCAAGGUAAACCCUAUUGAGAUUAACUCCAAACUAAACGUAAAUAAAAGAAGGAUUACGAUGACAAAUUCAAAUAUGCAAGAAACCAAACGAAAGUGAAAUAACAAUUUAUCGAACAAGAAGUAAAAGUGAAUGAAUUAUGGAAGAUUAAUAUAUGGAAGCACUAGGACAUCAGGUUCCUCAUUCUCCAUCCCAUCUAAUCCUAUUAUUCAUAUUAAACUCAAAUUUUUCCCAUGUUGCUGGCAAUUAUCCCUUGAUUCGUCAAUAUUUCAUUUCAGAAUAUACUAACCGUGUUUCUAACUAUCUACCCAUGCUAUGUCUAGCCACAGAUGUAGAUAAUCAAAACCUUUUACGCUAAAUGGAUAAUUUCACAAUGCUACACAAAUCAUAAUCCGUAUGUCUACUCAAUUAUGUAAUUCAUGGUAAUUGUUAAGAGAAGCAAUCUACUAAACUCAACCUGUCAGUCACAACUUAGUUCUUCACACAAAUAAUGGCCAGUUAUUUGAUAACGAUAAAGCACAAUAACAAUUACUCAACAUGGAAAACAACCGAGAUCUAUAUGAAAUAACAAUAGCUAGAUGUUCAUGAUAAGAGUACACCCUAGUCCUAGCAAAAGGACUUAGUUCAUGAUUAAACUAAUGACAAACAUGGAUGAAUUCAAUGACAUAAAGAAAACCGAAAACCCCAAUUCUGGAACCGUGCGCGAUAAACCCCAAAACUGCAACCUUCUGUCGAGAGUCCCCCACUGGAAGGUUGUGAGUAUGCGUUAUAUCUCCCCCUUUCCUCCUCUUGCGGCUGCAGGAUUCUUCCCUCUUUUAAUGUGCCCUUUUUUUCCUUUAAAAUCCCCCUCCUCUUUUAUUUGUGCUGCAACCUUCUUGAUAAGGGGAUUAAAAACCUUCUCCUCUUUGGAAUAGUCCAACGCCAGUUUUUAUGAAGCCCAAAUUGGACUUAAUUUGAUAAAGCCCAAAUUCCAGCACCACUCUCACAUAGCAUCAGUCCACUUCGUUAUUCUUUCGUGCUUUCCUUGUAAUUCUUCUAAAAAAUCCAGUUUUCUCCGAAAAAAUAACUUCUAUAAAAGUCACACAAAAUACAUCAAAUCCAACUGUUUUAUAUCAAACCAUGACUAAAUUAAUAGGUAAAAGAGAUACAAAAUAUACCUAUUAUAUCAACCUAACAACAUCCAAGAUUUAUUGCAGAAGGCUGAAAUGGUUGAUUGCAAGCCUUGUGAUACACCAUGCUUGCCAUACAAUCGAUUACUCAAGGAUAAUAGUUCUCCUUUCAACAAUCCUGCAGCUUAUCGCAAUAUAGUUGGUGCGUUGCAGUAUCUGACUUUUACCAGGCUAGAUAUUGCUUUUGCUGUGCAUCAAGUGUGUCAGUUUAUGCAAGCUCCUAUGGUCUCCCACUACAUUGCAGUCAAGAGGAUCAUGCGCUAUUUAAAAGGUACAAUGUCCUUUGGUAUAUCCUAUUUUGCUCGUGAUUUGCAUUUAAAAGCUUUUAGUGAUGCUGAUUGGGCGGGCGAUCCUAAUGAUCGACGGUCUACAACUGGCUUAGUUGUGUUUUUGGGUGGAAAUCCCAUUUCCUGGUCCUCCAAGAAGUAGAAUACAGUGUCCCGAUCCUCUACUGAGGUUGAAUAUAGGGCUAUGUCUUCAACUUCUGCAGAACUUGAUUGGAUACAACAACUUCUUGAUUUUCUGCACAUCAAACUUCCUGCAACUCCUGUGCUCUUCUGUGACAACUUGUCUACCAUCGCAUUGUCUUUUAAUCCUGUUCAACAUCAAUGCACAAAGUACAUUGAGAUCGAUGUUCAUUUUGUGCGAGAACGGGUUGCCAAACAAUGACUCAUGGUUCAGUUUGUCUCUUCCAGGGAGCAGUUCGCCGACAUUUUAACUAAAUGGCUUAGUUCUCCUUUGUUUCAGUCUCAUUGUAACAAUCUCAUGCUUGGUGCAUCCCCACAUGAGAUUGAGGGGGGAUGUUAGGGUAUAUUAGUAUUAUGAGAUGUUAACACUUGUCAAUAGAUUGUAUACUUAGUUAGUUAGUCAGUUACAUGUAUUGUGACUUCUAUAUAAACCUAAGCGUAAUGACUUCCAAAGUAAGAAAAUCAAUAUAACAGUACAUUCAUCUCUCUCUCUCUCAUUGUAAUUUCUCUCUCUAGUUCUUGAUAUUUCUCUCUGGUAUAUCUUCUUACAUAUUAACAGCUUAUUCUCACAGCACAGCAGAUGCAGUUUUUUUCAAAGCAUAACAAUACCAAACCAGCCCUUAAUAGUUACGUUUUAUGAAACGUUUAUGAGUAAAUUGGAUUUACGCUUUAUGAUAUUCAUGCUUUAUCGAUUUUACGUUCUUCGUAGUAUAUAUGAUUGCUGACUAUAUACUACGAAUAGGUUUUACGAUAUAAGGUUCUAGCUACUGAACUCCGAUUAAGAUUAUAUAGAUAUUAGAAAUAUUAUGUUAAUGUCUUUAUGUACUUACUUAGUGGUUAUUUGAAUGUUACUGCCUACGGGCAAAUGAUACUUCUAUAUAUGCUUUCGGGUGGGUGCUGUAGGAGCCUACAGACAAAUGAAGGCCUUCGGGCAAAUGAAGGGUUCUAUAUGCCUAUGGGUGGAAGAUAUUUAUAUUGGCUACGACUGGGCAGUUGUAGAUGGCUUCGGCUGGAAGAUAUUGAUUUUGGCUUCGACCGGGAGAUAUAGGAUAUGGUUAAGGCCAGGCGUGGGUUGGUGGCUUCAACGGAGAGAUACGUAUAUAUGGAUAUGGUCGGGUGUAGGUUGGUGAUUUUGGCUGAUUAUGAUAACAUUAUUAAGCACUAUAUAUGAUAUAUGUUUUAUAAAGUUUUAUGGCAAGUUAGGGUUUUUGGAAAAACCUAUUACUUAUUAUACUAUAUGAGUUUUGUAAACCUGGGGGUUAGUACGUUAAAGAUUAACUGUUAUAUUACUACUUAUAUAUCAACUUGGUCCACUCGUGUUUUGUUUUGCACCCCCUUAGGACUUAGAUUCGAGAUGUAUAAUCCUGGUGUCAAGGCACUCCCGCAUCUGCAUCUUCGAGUCCUCUCGGUGUAGGACCCAUCUCUUUGUUCAUUCAAUUUUAUAUUAUUCCUUUUUAGUGUCCAGGAUUAGUUGUAAGCUCUAAACACGUUCCAUAAUUUCAUAAUCAUUGUAUUUAAAUUUAUAAGUAUUGUUUAUAUUUAUUAUUUCUCAUGCAUCCAAAUAUGGCUUCAUCACCAUUGGGUGUUGGCCAGCAUGUGCCUAUCUUGUGUUUGGAGAAUAUCAGGGUCGGAUGUGUCAAAAUUGCUAUUGAACUCAGUUGCAAAGGGAUAGGCUAUCAUAGGCAGAUAGUUGUAGUCAACUUGCAAAAAGAAUGGGCACAUAUUCGUCUUUACUUAUUUUCUGUGCUCAGUUCAUAUGCUCAUAGAUGGAUAGAUGGAUAAGGGUGUGUGAUGUAUCUAUUUUAAGUAAUAUGAAAAAAUAAAUCUGCUCUCUUCCGAGACAAUUUGUUAUACAUUACCUUGCACACAACAUUUGAGAUUUGAGAUUUGAAAGAACAAGAAAGCAUCUUCAGCGGUCGACCAUGCAAUUCUGGUUUUGACUCAACCUUUGAUGCCAUUUUUGUAAGCACAAACAAAAUAGGAAUGUAGAAAAUAAGGAUAUGAAUAGUGCAUAGAGUAAAUGUGUGGGAAGUAAAGAAUAUGAAUUGGUAUUUACUAUUUAUAAAAAAUAUUUGGAAAGAGUCUUUGGAAUUUUUUAUUUUUCUAUUUUUUUUCUUCUCUCUUUUAAACAUUUUCCCAUUUUCUUUCUAUCUUUUUACAAUUUUUUAAUUUAUUAUCAUUGAAAAUAUAAAAAUUGUUGGAUUAAAGUCGAGAUCUAAAUCAGACGAUGCAAAUGCGCCAUGUGUAAUAAAGUCUUUAAACUGGCUGUUGGGAGCUUAGUCGACCGUUGUGGCCUGCCCUACAUGCAAUUUCUUGUCGCACCACCCUCUCCGUCAGACGCAUAUAGCGACGCCCGACAUAAAAUGAAUAAAUAAAUAAAUAAAAUUAUGGUUGACGUAACAUAGUAAAUCUGGGCGUGGGGCCAAAAUCGCCAAGGUUGCUGCCAAAGCUAUACCAGCCAUGGCUUGGAGGAGAUAGGUGAAGGGAAAUUUGGAAUGGAUUUAAAGUUUAAGCCAUAGCAAAUUUCCAUGGGCGGAAAUGCUGUUUACCCAAGCAAUUGCUUGGGUCUGGAUCCCCUUGUUUCACACGCAAGCCUUUCACAUGACAUACUCAUGAUUGGUCCUGUUGCAUGCGUUUAAUGUCGGACAAAGUUUAGCCAUAACAAAAUUCUUUGAGAUACAAAGUUGCAAUUUGUCCCCUCACCAUAUCAAUCAAUGCAUGCAUAUGUGACGUUCUCUUUCUUCAUCUUUUUUUGAAAUGAUGAUAAUGGAUUAGGAGCUGCAUAUAAGGCUUGAUUUUCGGACAUAAUAGUAAAUGUUCGUGGCUGGAAUUUCCGUUGGGGAAGUCUCCUAGUCGACGAGCACACAACUCCCCGAGAGGUUGACGCCGGUUGAUGCUUUCUGUCGGGCUUCUGCUUUACUGGCGGGCUUGUCGGACAAGGCUGAAAGAGAAGGACAGAGUUAACUUUGAAAGAUGCCUUUGUGGGGCCUUAGGUAUAGGCCUUGAGGCUCACAAUCAAGAUUAACUUUUAAGUGCUCAGGCAUGCCACUGCCAUCUUUAGCAUGGCAGAUGUAAAAUAGAUGUUGAAUUUUAGUUGUACAUAUACCCGAGAGGCUGUGUUAGUUAUGACAGGUGCCUUUGUGGGGCCUUAGGUGUAGGCCUUGAGGCUUCCGAUCAAGAACUAACCCAGUACUCGAAUAUACGAUGUCUGUUUUAUUGUUUGCAGAAGUGUUAUAACCAUUAUACUCCUGAUUAUCCGAGCCCGCAUAGCAGAAUGAACCCAAAUAGGUGCCUUGUAGGGCCUUAGAUAUAGGCCUUGAGGCUUCCCAUCAGAAUUCCUUAUAUACUCAAACGUUAUACUAUAAUCAUAAUAUAAUAGAAAUAAAACUAAGAGAUAGGUCGAUUACUUGCACCCCAAGUAACUUCGGACUUCUUGUUAUCAAAGCUUGUCGUGGAUGGGUUAAGUCUACCUAAGGUUCUUUUUUAUGCCUUGAGGCCAAGGACUUUUGAAUGAUCAAUCUUACAUGCCCGAGAGCGUAGAACUUAGAUCUGGUUUGAACUGUGAAGACAUAUUCAAAUCGGAUUCAAGAACUGAAAGAGUCUUUUAAUCGUCAUCUUACUAGAAAUAACUUGAAUACAACUGGAAGUAUACAACAUAUUGCUAGGCUAAUGAAUGAAAAGACAAAAACAAAGAGGGUCGGGCAAGGCUGAUCGUCUUGCAACUUCCUAUCUUUGUGGUUUAUCAAAGGGUUUGAGAGCUUUAGAAAGGGGGGUAGGGAGAUGAGUUUACAGAAAGAAAUCGAUACUACAGCAAGCUUAGGACAAGGUAGCAGAGUUAUUACAAAGGCUUUUGGUAAGGGUUUAUCCCGAAAGGGAUGAAGGCUUGGGCUGACUAUAGCUUUCGUUUGAUGGCAAAUCUGGCUUUGAGCAGAGUUUGUGCUUGUAUUUGUUUGUUUGAUUGAGUGUCCUUAUCUCUGAUUUCUCUUUCUUCUUUUAUAGACACUUCGGCUUGGCCUCCUGUAGCAGUAAUCUUGCCCAAAUGCAGCUUGAAGGGUAGUGACUCAUCAGCUAUUUACUUGUACUGCCACUGUAAAGUGCUUUUGGGCUGAUUAGCUGGCUGGUCUAUACCACUUGGUCUCUAGGCAGGUGAGCAAGUGGUGCAAAUGAUCUGCACCUAGUCGGGAAAGGCCUUUUCUGCCUUCUGGGCUUUGGCUGGGCUUCGGGCUUUUCCCCUUUCCAGACCUCCUUUUGGGGCAACUCCUUCUUGAGCCCAAAAUUCAAGUUUUAACCCAAACAGUGCCCCCUUCAAUCAAUAUUCAGGCUGGAAUUCCAGGCACCAAUAUUGAUUGAAUAGCUGCAUGCGCCAGGACCCUUGUUCUUGGAACUUGUGUCUUCUAGUUGAGAUUAACGCAACCUGGAGUCUCUUGAUCUUCUCACGACUCUUGAACUACCUUCUGAUAUUCUAUAAAUUUCGGCUCAAAUUAUCUUCAACCUCAUCUGUCAUCAACCUUGAGCGUUUCUGCCUCCUUGGUUUUCUUCCCAAAACUGUGAAAUGAGCUUUUCAGGAUUCAAGUGGGGUUUUCUAAAACUUCCUUUUCGUAAGAAAAAGAGUUUUCAUCAGAUAACUACCAUCUCCAACACCUUUGGUCAAACACCCCGCUAUCCCCAACACCCUUGGUUAGGCGGUUUCCUUAUAAAGGCUUGCCUUCUUGCUCGCUGCUAUGAUAAGUCAGGCUUUACCAUCAUGUAUGGUGAUGACUCUGCCUGAGGAUCUUCUACCAAGCUCAUUUUGGCCGCACAACCUGAUCACCUGAUCAGAUUCUAUCCAUAAGACAUCGGAAAACCAGCUGAGACACCAUUGCAUCCAGAAGGAAUCGAACGUAGCACAUUAGAAUUGAAUCUGUUGUAAAUUUCACCAAUUUGUCGAAAUGAAAUAAACAUUAUUUUAGCAGCUUUGUGUCUUUGUGUCUUUGUGUCUUCUUGAAUGAUUGAUGAACAUACACUAUACUUUGGUAUCCCGAAGCCUGCUUUACUUUGCAUCAUCUUCAAUAUAACAAUCUCUAACAUCCCAUAAUAUAGGACAAUACUUUUUCAAGAAUUUAACAUUGAUGGGAUGUUUCUGCCAAUUUCCUUCGAGGUCCGCCAAGUAGUAUCCUCCUUUGUCUAAUACUCGACUAAUCAUGAAAGGACCUUCCCAUGUCGGGUUCCAUUUUCCGAAGCCCCUAAGUUGAGCUCCUAGAGGAAGGACUGUUUUCCACACCAAAUCUCCUUCCUUGAAAGACUUUAUCUUCACCUUUUUCUUAUAAGCUCGGGCAACAGCUUUCUUCCCUUCCUGAAUCUGGUUCAAGGCUUCAAUUCGGGCUACAUCUAAGUCUUCAAUCCCUUGACACAUGGCUUCGAUAUACUCUUCACUGUGUAACCCAAACUGAUUUUGAAUUCUGACAGAACUUACAUUGAUCUCCAUGGAAAGCACUGCAUCUUGCCCGAAAGUGCAUAAGGAGUUGUCCCUGUUCUUGCCCUCUUGGAAGUUCUGUAUGCCCACAAAGUAUUCCCCAGCUUUUCAUGCCACAUUUCCAGACUAUCUAUCACCAUUCUUUUGAUAAUGUUUACCAAAAUAUUGUUAUUGGAUUCUGCCUGGCCAUUUGACUGUGGAUAGUAAGAACUGGAUUGGAUCAUCUUUAUUUUGUAUUUGCUUGCAAACUCUUCAACUUCUUUUGAAAUAAAAGAUGGCCCACGAUCCGUUACUAUGAUUUCGGGCACCCCAAAUCUAUACAGAAUCUUGGUCUCGAAAUUUUAUUUUACUGCAGCUGAGGUUAUGGAUUUUACGGCCGAGGCCUCUACCCAUUUGGUGAAGUAAUCCAUUGCUACAAUUAUGAAAAUGUGCCCCUUGCUAGAAGCUGGAUAGAUCUGCCCGAUGAAGUCAAUUGCCCAUCCUCUGAAGGGCCAAGGCUUGACCACUGGAUUUAAAGGUACUGAGGGUACAUGUUGGAGAGGACCGUGCCUUUGACAUUCUUCACAGCCUCGGACAUAUGACUUGCAAUCUCUUUCCAUAUCGGGCCAGAAAUAACCAUACCUUCUAAGUAACCACCUCAUCUUCGUUCCAGCCUGAUGUGCUUCGCAAACUCCUUCAUGUACUUCGGCCAUUACUCUCAUAGAUUCCUCUUGGCCUAAGCAUUUCAAUAAUAACAUGUCUGGAGUUUUCCUUAGCAGGUCAUUUGCCCAUAAAACAUACUUAGUUACUUGCUGUCUAUUCUUCUUGCUUGUAGGUGAAUAGGGAUCUUUUAAAUGAUGGACGAUGGGCGACCUCCAAUCUUCUAUCUCAGUUUCUAGAACCAUUACAUCCAGACUAAAUCCUCUUUCCAAGAUAGAAGGAAGGUUUCUUCUUUAAAUCUCGACAUCCAACCCAUAUUUUCUUUCCUGUAUUGGCAUGCCUGAGGCUAAUUGUGCCAUCUCAUUGGCCGCUAGGUUGGAUCUUCUGGGAAUAUGAUUAACUGAUAUCUCAGAAUCCCAAUAACUCAGCAAUUACGUGGCCACCAAGUAAUACCCCGUCAUGGUAAUAUGUCUGCACUUGAACUUCCCAUUUAGCUAGUUUAUUACUAACUCUGAAUUGCCAAAGACCUCUACCUCCAUUGCCUCCAGAUCCAUCAAGAUUUCCAAACCAAUUAUUAAGGCCUCAUACUCUGCCCGAUUAUUGGUGUUCCCUUGGUAAUCUAGGAGAAAUGAGUAAUAAUGAUACACCCCUUGAGGGUUGAUAAUUACAAUCCCAGCUCCUGAAGCCUCUGAGUGUAGGAAUCAUCAAAAUAUAGCUUCCAAGGAGUAAUCCAUAGACCAGUUACUCUUCUUAUCUCUUGCUGGACCCACUCAUCUUUGCACGAGAUACCUUUGCUUGGCGGGAUCAAAACACUAGUAACUUCCAGGGUUCCCGGGAUAUUGAUUAUCUCAUCUUGAGACUCUUGAUGCUCCGCCAAGAAGUCAGCAAUUGCUUGGCCUUUAACUGCCAUUUGGGGUACAUACUGAAAGAUGAAUUCUGAUAAUGCUAGAAUCCACUUCCCAAUCCUUCCUGUUAGCAUUGGCUUUGACAACAUGUACUUUAUCACAUCUGUCUUGGCGAUGAUGUGCACGUGACAAGGUAACAUGUAAUGCCUCAGCUUACUGGCAGUAAAAUACAGAGCUAAGCACAAUCUCUCUACUGGGGAAUAUCUUGUUUCUACCUCGGUCAGAAUUCUACUGAGGUAGUACACCGCCUGCUCCUUCCUGCCUUCAUUGUUUUGAGCUAGCAAACUCCCGAUUGAUUUCUCUGAAGCAGAAAUAUACAGCUUUAAGGGUUUUCCCCUUUGAGGUGGCACCAAUACUGGUGGAGAAGUGAUGCGAGAAUUACUUGACACACAAUUAAACCCUCUUUUUGACAGUUGUAGUAUAGUUGUAAGUAGGGUAUCGUUCUAGGCCGGGGAUUAGGAGGGAUUGCUAAUCUAUUCUAAAUUAAUUUAAAAAUAUUAAAUAAGACUCAAGGACACAAAACUAGGCGAAAAAACUCUAAUAACUCGAAACACACUUAAAAUGACUCAAAAUAAUGAAAACAAUUAAAUUAAACACUAGGAACUGAAAUGGACGGAAAUUAAAUUAAAAGACUAACAAUAAAGAAAACUAACUAAAUAAUAUAAUUUAAUAAUGGAUGGGUGUUUGGUUUUGAUGAAAAGUAAAUUAAACUUAAUUAAAUUACAGAAUUGACAAAAACAUAAAAUUAAGGUAAAAGGAUAGAUGACGGACUAGCUAGAGGGUUCUUCUCCACACAUGACACAUAUGCAACCUAAAUUGAUUUUUCAGUUGUUCUUUCAAUAAAUUGUAAAUCUCAACGCCCCAAAUUAACCGUGAAUUGCACUAAUUAACCCUCAGUUUUUCCACAAGUUAUUGGGUUGGAUGAUUGCAUACGACAACCCAAAACAUUCCCUACAAGUUCCCUACAUGAAUUGCAUAAUAGAGAUACAAGCAAGAAUCAUUAAGUUCUAUGAAAAACAUAAGCAUUGACGAGGCACUCGUUACUAUGAUUUGCAUGAAACUUAUGCCAAGAAUUUACUUAACGUGAUUGUGACUAGCAACCUUUACUACUUGUGAAUAUAAGUUCAUAACGAUUAGGUGAAAUUCACUUAUAUUCUAGCAUCAAAUUCAUGCAUGUAAAUUAAGUAUGCAUCCUUAAUCGACAUACAAAAAUAAGUUAUAAAUCAAGCAGUUAAGCAAAUUAAAUCACAACUCAUAAAUCACAACUGAAGGUAAUCAAUUCAUAUUACAAAUAUAUUCAUGGCUUUGAAUUAACCUCUAGCCAAAAUAAAUUAGUUACACAUUAUUAAAACAAAAAUAAAACAUAAGUUUGGAAAGAUUUAACCGACAGAUAAGGCAGCUUGCUGAUUCUCUUCUUCUCCUCCCCGAGGCUCACACUGCUUCUGCCCUCAGUCCCCCUGACUUCCUUCCGUGCUGCUCCCCGCGCUUUUGCUCUCAGCUGCCAAGGCAGCCUUUCACGCUGCCAGCUAUCCUCACCUCCCUGUACGUGUCACUUCUCUCCCCCUGCGUCUCUGCGAGCUGCCCAAAGGGCAGCCCCUCUCUUUUCUCCGCUUUCUGCACGCCCCCCCUUUCUUAUGCUGCCUUCUCCUCGUUAUAUCCCGCACCUUCUUUUUAUUUUUUAUUCCAUCCCAUUUUCUUUUCUGACCUGUUCUCCAUUUGUCAAGAUAGCCCACUUCUUCUGUGUCUCCCGCACUCCUCUCUUUCUUUUAUUCUCACGCUGCCAACCCCACUAUGCAGUGCUUUCUCCUUUUUCCCGCAAGUCUGCCCGUAUGCCUUUGACCUCUCUCCAAUCUUUAUUUUUCUACCUCCGCACUUCUCAGUGCUCUCUCUCCACUCUGGUUUAUAUUCCAUCUUUUAUUUUCUUAUUCUUUCCACCAGCCCCUUUCCACUCUGUCCGUGCCCUCUCAUUCUUUUACAAAACAUUCAAACAUCAUUAUUAUUAUUUAUUUAUUAUUAUAUAUAUUUUUUUAAUUUUAUUUAAAGGCUGAUCUACACAGACAGUUUUGACGAAUUUAUUACAUAAAAUUUCACUUGUUCUAUUUUUAUUUUCUUUGCAUAACAAAUCCUAUAAACACAAAAAUAACGUAAAUAGCUCAAAAAUAUAAGGAACUAACUAAGAAAAGACGAGUGAAUUCGAAGUAAAAAUAUAUAUAAAUAUGAUCCGAUCAAGAAGUCAAAUAGGCUUUAAUGCUGUCGAAAGCCUUUUGGUGUGGUGGUCCCCAUUCAAAAUUUUCUUUAUCCUUCAGUCUUAGCAAAUGAGUUAGCGGCUGGAUCUUGCUUGCUAAAUUGGCAAUGAAUCUUCUCAAGAAAUUAAUUUUGCCUAGCAGCUUCUGAAGUUGCACUUUGUUAGUGGGUGAAGGCGACUCCAUUAUUGCUCGAGAUUUGUUUUUUCCACUUCUACACCUCUUUGAUGAACCAGAAAUCCCAAGAAGUUGCCUGCUCUUACUCCAAACGCGCAUUUCUUUGGAUUCAUCUUCAAUUUGUGGAUCCUCAUUCUUGUUAAUGCUUGCCUGAGGUCUACCAGAUGUUGCUCUUCUGUUUUGGAUUUCACCACAAUGUCAUCAAUAUACACCUCCAUGUUAUGGCCAAUCAGAUCAUGAAAGAUGGCAUUCAUUGCCCUUUGGUAGGUCACACCAGCGUUCUUGAGCCCGAAUGGCAUGACCAGAUAUUCAUAUGCCCCCACAUGCCCAGGACACCUAAAAGCUGUUUUAUGUAUAUCCUCCGGAGCCAUCUUUAUCUAAUUAUACCUGGCAUUUCCAUCCAUAAAAGAUAAGACUUUGUGUUUUGCUACUGCAUCUAUGCAUAGAUCUGCCAUAGGCAUGGGAUACUCAUCUUUUGGUGUAGCGCCAUUAAUAUUUCUGUAAUCAACAUAACAUCGUACUGCUUUUGUUAUGGCCUUUAAAAUGGGUACAAUGUUGGCUAACCACUCUACAUAUUUGGCUGGCCUGAUAAAUCCAGCUUUUACUAGCCUCUCAAAUUCUUCUUUGACUUUUUCUUCUAUCUCCUUUGACAUCCUUCGCGGUGCUUGCUUAACAGGUUUAUAUCCCUCCUUGAUGGGCAUUCUGUGUUCCACCAAGGUUGAAUCUAAACCUGGCAUCUCAGUAUAAUGCCAAGCAAAACAAUCUUUAAAUUCUUGCAAAAGACAGAUAAUCUUUGCCCGAUCAUUAGUCUCUAAUAAACCACUGAUUUGUAUUGGUCUUGGAUCUUCCUCUGUCCCUAGAUCAAUAACUUCUAGAGGAUCCUGAACUUCUGGUGAUGGCUUAUCAGGUUCUGCACACAAAAAUUCGACUAACUCUAAGCUCUCGGCCAAGCUGUCUGGCCCAUCUAGGUCAUAUAUGCACUCGGCCAUUUGGAUGGCCUUCUCCAAUUCUUCUCUACAAGAUUCCUUCAUGCUUUCAUCCUGGCUGGUUGAAGCUCCUAGCUGCCAAUCCUACUCUUCUUUGUCUAAGAGCUCCAUUUCUUGCUUUCUUCAUUUCCCAUACACCAACAGUCUUUUGAUCAGGGACCUGACUGCCAUUACGUGACCCUUCCUCUUUUGUUCUGUCAUUGAUGGUGUAGGGGUGUUGGGACGAUACAAGGUCUAUCCCACUCUUCUCUAGUAAUGAGCAUUCCUUGUUCUAGAAACUUUUGGGCCGUCACCUUGGUAGGGCGACCGUUCUUAUCUGCUCCUGAACAUUUCAGAAUUCCUACACCUUGGGAGCAGCCUCUCCAUAAAUGGGGGUAAGGCUAGCCGACAUUCACCUCUCCCAGACCCUGCGUAAAGCGGGAGCCUUGUGCACUGGGUACGACCGACCUACGUUGGGAUUGUAGAAACUUGCUUCAGCAACAUUGGCUGUGGGAAGAAAUGGCUGUGAUUCGGCCUCUACCAUCUCCUAAAAGCCUGGUCCCUCCGUUCCUGCCUCAUGAUAAACAGCCACUUGCUGAUGAAGAGUGGAGGGUAUGGCAAGACUUUGGUGGAUCCAAUCCCUUCCAAGUAAGGCUCCAUAGGUGGAAGUGCAAUCUACCACAAAGAAUGCCAGCAUGAUCUGUUUAAACCCCAAAUCCACUUCUAAAGGCAAUAUCCCAUGAGUCUUGGUGAUGGCGCCCGAGAAGCUUGAAAUUGUGAGGUCUGUAGGAAUAAGAUCUUAUGUGCCUCUCCCCAAAUUUUUCAUUUGCUUGGCCAGUAGUACAUUAACAGCCUCUCCUCCAUCAAUUAAAAUCCUUUUGAAGGGCACCCCUUCCAAAUGAGCUGUAACAUAUAUGGGCUUAAAAUGAUUAGCAAGCGAAAUGUUCGGGCGGCUGAACACCAUUUUGUCUGUAUAGAUCCUUAAAGGACCAUCCUUGGAUGCUUCAGAUGAUUAAGCUUUUCCUGAUUCUCCCUCUUCAGCUAUCUCCACAUUGACAUGGGCCAUCAUUGGCUCAGUUGUUAUGUAGUCACCUUCCAUAGUGGCGGGCUGAUUAGGUUUGGCACCAAACAUGGCGGAUAGCACAUACGCCAUGUUGAUAUGAAAAUUGCUAUACUCUGGCAGUUCUUCCUUCUUGCUCCCAAUCUGAUCCAUGAACUCGUCUAACCAAGCCAUCGUAUAUGCUGGAAGCAGUGGUUCUAGUGCCCCCUCAUGUUGAUUCAUGCCUGAACAUGGUGUUUGCUUUGGAACCUCACCGAAAGGAUCCACUAAUGAUAGAGAAGGUGGUUUUCUUUCAGGCGAAACAGUUCCAAAGCAACUAGGCUCUGUCUUCCAUUCCGGAGUUGGCACCAUGAUCAUAUCUUCUUGAGCUCUCUUCAAGAUCCUAUAUUUCCCAGGAUGUAGGCUUUGUGGUACAUGGUCUCCCUUGCCUUCUGUCUUGCUAUUAGCCUUUUCCACCUCUUUUUUACUCCUCCAGCGGAACUGACUACUUCCCUCAGAUGACGUUUUUUUCUAACUUUUAAUUCUUGGAUGCUUCAGACGUCGCAGGGGUCUUUAAGGAGUUCAUGUAGGCUUUGUGUUGCCUUUGGACCCUUCUGACCAUGGAGGCUCCCAUUUGUUUAACGGGCUGUCCAUUUUUCCCAACCAUGUACCAUUUUCGCCCGAGGCGGGUAGGGUUAUCUUUUUUGACAGGAUUUGUUAUCCUAUCAUUCCUCUUGACUUAUCUUCCCAUAUGACCGUACUGAGAACGCUCUAUACCCCUCUCUUUCGGCUUUUUGGCAUCUUUAUUUUCUGCCUCCUUAGAAACUUUAUGAUUGCCAAAUAUCUCUGAUAAAGCUCUCGGUUGGGAAUCGCCUCCUAACCGCUGAAGAACACUUCGGGAGGUAUCUCUUCCUGCGGUCCGUCCGACUUUUUCACGAGCCUCAUUUCUUUCUUCUUCUUUUUUCCUCCUGAUUAGCUCAUGAUCCAUGAGGACUCCUGCGGGUAGUAUUUCGAGCUCACACUCGCAUUGGCAUUUACUGCACAGAACCAUCCCUUUGAUUAUGGCUGCUUUUGGAUGUUCGGGCAAUUUGAUCACUCCUUUUAUAGAUCUAUCAGCCAGUCUUCCUUUUUUUACUUCCCUUGUGACCUUUUCUUUUCCCUUCUCAGCCCAUGCAAUACUGAUCAUAUUUACUGGGGCCUCUGAGAAGGGAUCCGCAGGUUUGUCCAUCACUGCUUCCUCUGGCUGGUUGGUUUUAAAUCUCCUUUUCUCCCUAUCAUCUUUUUCCCCAAGUUGAGGUAAAGAUGUUGACAUGUGUCGUGCUGUGAUUAGCCUUCUGGUUGGAGGGAAACUCUUAUGCUUCGGCAGGGGUGCCUCAGCAUGAACCCCUCAGUGGAUCCUUGAAGGUAUGAAGUUGACCGGUACUUGACAAUUUCGGGAUUUGUAUGUAAAACUGCAACAAUCUUGAGACAAUUUUAAUACUCAAGAUCAACACACAAAUGCAAAUGAACCCACCAGAAACAACGACAAGCCAGUAAUUGCAGAAUCAACAGUCUUAUGAAUACGAAACAAGAAACCCCCAAAUCUUAGGGUUACAGAUUUCAGAGAAUCGUAAACAAUGCACAGAUCAAAAACGUUGAGCAGAAAGAAAUGAAAGAAUCAACAAAACCUGAUGCUUGAAGGUGAUCAAGAACCCAACAAUUCAAUUGACGAAAAAACCAUCAACAAAUCACUGACAAUCCAGUACGACUAGUAAGCAAAAAACCAAUACGCAACCGAAGAAGGCGAAAAACUAAUGACCGGAGAUGUCACCAACUACCGAUCACAAACGGAGAUGAGUAGUGAAAGCAUGAAGGAUCGUCAACCGAAGGCGUGAGCCACUCUCGGCAAAGAUACCUGACAACAAUGUAAUUGAGAGCUAAGUAAACAAGCGAGAGAAAGUAGAGAGGGAAAGUUUGCUAAAACUAAAUAUUCUCCUUCAUUCAACUUGUGUAGAAUAAUUACAACAGUUGGUAUUUAUACAUUAGUAAAACACCUCUCUACUAACUAACUAAGACCACUACCAAUAAUACAUAAACACUUGUCAUAAUCCUAUGCAAUCAUAAUCUCAUCAACUCUAUCCACACCCUCUUACAGAAGUUACCAUUUUGUAUGUAAAUUCUCCACCUUUUUCAUGUUCUAGUUGUUGGGUUUAUUGUAAUUCUUAUAAUGUGGGUUGUUCUUGUUGUUGAUGUUAACUUACCAUUUUGUAUGUAAAUUCUCCACUUUUUUUCAUGUUGUAAUUUUUAGGUUUGUUUUAUUUAAUGUUUUUAGUGUUUUCUAAUGUGGAUUGUUCUUGUUGUUGAUGUUGAUCAGCGGAGGAGUACUGCCACUCGGAUGCAGGGUGACAGUGAAGAUUACGAGUUGAAGCAAAUGAGGGAUAUGGCUGCUGCCAAAAAGAGAUGGGAAGCUCUGGUAUGUUGCUCGAUUCCUACGAAAUUCGAAGACAGAAAAACAAAACGACUUUUUGUGUAAAUUGUGUUUAAGUGAGCUACUUAAUGGGAAUUUGAGAAAAGAAAGUAAAAUUCUUUUAGUUCAACUAUUUUGUUUUUAGAGGUUGUAUAAUUUGUUCUGCGCAUGCUAAAUUUGAAAAUAUUGUCUGAUAGCAGGUAUGUCAGAAAAACCUUUUCUGGGUUCAAGGAGGUAGAGGCUGCUGAAGAAGAGGUAGUCUUGGUUUUAGUGUUUAGAUAUUCUUUUUUGCAUAUUUUCUUUUUCGGUGCUUUUGUUGUGAACCAAACUGAAAAAGUCUGUUAAUGUAGUGAGUCUCAUCUUAUGUGGGAGCAGGAUCUUGCCAGAGAAGGCCCUCUGCCAUUUAAGUUUGCUGGAAUUGGUGGGCUUUUAGAAUUCCUUGGGUAACUAUCUGGUCUUGCUCACUUUUCGUUAUCAUUGGUAACUACGUCGUAGUGAUGCACACCGAACUUUUAUUUCUGAUGCAUAUUAGAAUACAAUUUGAAGACAGUUCUUAUACAGAUUUAUCAGAAAGUACAUUUAUUUCUGCCCUGCUGCAGCUGCCAAAGAAGGUUGGAGUUACCGAUUAGUGUUCUCUGCCCGGCUGGUACUUAUUAUCUUCAACAUGUUUACAAAACGGCCUGCUUUUAGUCACCUAACUUUCAAGCAUCUAAUUUCAAUUUGAACGAUUUUUUUGGCACAGGUCAGAGUCAUUCUCCUUGCCGAUACCUUGUUUCUUGGUGCUCAGCAAUUUGGACAUUAUCUUCAGGAUACAAGGUCACUCUGAGGUUAAACACUUGUGCUUGAAGUACUUGAUUGUAUAUCAAGAUACAACAUUUUGCAGUACUGGUUCACCAGAAAUAAUAGAUUUUCCAAGGAUAACAAUUUUGGAAGCCACAGUGCCUCAGAAAGAAGCUUGUAUCCUCCAUAUCAACCAUAUAUCACUCCGUUCUCAUUAGGGUUCCAUGCUUUUCAAUGAAGUGGAUCUAUUCAUUGAAAAGCAUGACUGAGCCAGCAAAUUUUGUAAGGCAGUUAUGCCUUGUAAAACAAGUUCUAGCCUAGUACUAGUUGUUUUUCCUCUCGUAAUGGUUUUAUGGCCUAGCAAUGUAUACGUCCUGUGAAUUCUACUAUUAAUUAUUUUCUUUUAUGAAUCAAUAUAGAUUGCACAGAACUUGAAUAAAUUCUUAUGCAUGCCGCGGCAAGCAGGGAACCAUCUUGUUCUUCCUUGCAUUGCCUUUAAAGCUGUGCUCUCAACUGCAUAAAUUAUGGAACCACUUACUAUGUAGAUUUUGAUUUUACCCUUGUGAAGCUAUGAAAUUAUAAUUGUUCUUUGAAACCAACCUUGACAUUGCAUUUAGACACCAAUCAGGGUAAAGGAGGGGAAAACGGGAAGGAAAAUCAUGUCUCAUAGAGAAAAAAGGCAAGUACAAUUUAUUCCAUUUACUUUAGGAGUCUGCAUCUGAGAUAUUGGCUAAAGACAAUGCGUGAAUCUUCUUGUCUCUUAUAUGAAAUCAGAGGCAGUUGGAUGAUACAUAGAUUAUCAUGUUGUUUAUUUAUGAUUUCUUGUCUCAGGGAAACCGUGGUCUGGCGACAACAAACAGAUUGGCUAUCCUGUGCAUUGUGAUACCAAAAACUUCUGCCAGGUCCAAAUCUUUAGAUGUAGUACCCGGAGGAAGCGCCCAAUCAAAGCUAUGCAGAAGUUGAGCUAGAGCAAGCUCAGUGGUUGCUGUUCCAAACGUAAUAGCUGGACAAAUUCUUCUACCAGCCCCAAAAGGUAAAAGCUCAUAAUGCUGCCCCUUGAAGUCUAUAGUGCUACCUAUGAAUCUUUCUGGUUCAAACGUUUCUGGAUUUUCCCAAGAUUCUGGGUCCCUCCCUAUUGCCCAGGCAUUGACAAAAAUUCUUGUUUUGGCUGGAAUAUCAUACCCAUCAAUGCUUACAUCUUCCAUGGAUUCUCUAGGGAGUAGUACUGGAGCAGGUGGAUGCAAUCUAAAUAUCUCUUUGAUGACAGCUUUCAGGUAGUCCAGCUGAGGCAGAUCACUCUCUAACACGACCCUUCUUUCUCCAACAAUUCCUCGUACUUCUGCUUGCGCUCUUCCCAGUACUUUGGGGUUCAUCAAAAGCUCUGCCAUUCCCCAAUCAAGGGUGAUGAAAGUUGUGUCAGUUCCUGCAGCAAACAUGUCCUGCAGCAGCAGCAGUUCCUAUUGUUAGCUUCUUUGCAAACAGCUAAGUGGAAUUCAUAUUUAAAGUAAUAAGGGAUAUCUCGGCUAUUGAAUAUAUAUUUAAGCAACCAUGAGUCUACACCGACCAAGAUAAUAGCCUUGACAUUAUCCAUGGUGAGAGGUAUUUCAGCAGAUUCACUUUUCUGUAUGUCAAGUAAAACAUCUACGAGAUCCUUGUGCUUCUCUUUUUCUCUGUUGGGAUUGAGAUGAUCAGUCACCAUCUGGUCGAAAAGUUCAUCAAAGCGCCGGAAGGUCUCUUGAAGUCUCGAUUUCAUUCCUGUUAAGCUGUGUAUGAACUCCAUGGAAGGGAAGAAAUCUCCAAUAGAAAAUCCUCCAAGCAAUUCCUGGUAUUCCUCGAGCAUCUUUUGGAACCCAUGCCGAUCAUAGUCUCCACCUUCUGAAAAACCCCUUCCAAAUGCUACUCGACAGAGAACAUCAUUUGCAUACAAUCCAAGUAUCUUGCUCAGAUUGGUGGUGCCGGGAUAAGAUUCUGCAACCCGACAAACCAGACGAGCAACUUCUUCUUCUCUAACAUGGCUAUAAGAUUGCACACGUUUGGCACUUAGUAGCUCAAGUAUGCAAAUUUUACGGAUAUGCCUCCAAUAAGCGCUGUAAGGGGAGAAGGCAACAUCUGUACAAUUAUAGAAGAGGUGUUUGGCAGAAAAGAUUUGUGGACGGCUUGAUAGCGCAAGGUCAUGGGUUUUCAGUACUUCCUUGGCUACUCUAGCCGAUGAAACCACCACAGUAGGGACCUCACCAAGUUGUAAGUAAAUUAGUGGACCAUACUUCUCUGCCAAGCCGCAAAGAGAUAUGUGAGGUUUGUUUCUGAGCUGGUGAAGGUUACCGAUGACAGGCAGCUUCGGAGGGCUUGGUGGAAGUUUGAGUUUUCUUUUCCCUGACUUAUCCUUAAAGAAAAACUUGAGCAACAAUAUGAGGAAACUGAAUGCAAGAAGCAAAGAGGGUUCCUUUAGCAAUUGAAGAAGAGCCAUUGGAAACCAAAAUUCAGUGCCUCGGAGUUUUUCUUUAGCUUCUGGUAUGGCCCCCCUGUUGCAGUAAUCAAUUUAAAUAGACGGACACUUGCUUUUGGUGGCACUAGCACCUAGUAGUCAUCAAUCGGCAAGGAAGCCACCUCAAUUAUUUUGUACCAUUCAUAUUUUCCACCUUGUUUUCUAACAAAUAUGCCAAAAAAAUCCUUAUCUUCUUUUCUGUUUGCAGUGAUAGUUACGGAUGGUGAUACAAUGUGGUCCUGAAAGUAAGCAUGCCUCUAGCAAUGACGUAACAGUUAGUACUUAUCAUAAUCUCAGUACAGGAACAUACUAAUUACCACACGCAUAUGGAAUGGUAACGGGGAAACAAAGUAUUCCACAGGGCAACUUCUCUCAGGAAAUACCGGCUUCUGUGAUAGUGUGAGAUUUGAAUGAUUCAGCAUUCAUCGAUAUAGUCACAUCAAAAUAAAUACAUUUGGUGUGCAAUAGUGUAACGACCCAUCCCUAAAUAUUACGGUUCUUAUAAUUUUAAAAUGUGAAUUUACAAAAAUACCCAUCGAGGUAAAAACGUUGACUUUUGUUGACCGCUAUGUCAUGUCACGUAAAAUCUGUUUUCUUGUCAUAUCCUUGUAGUACUCAUUGCUAUGAGCGUGUGGGUGCAAGCGAAUCGGAUUUGGAGUUACGGUGAAUAUUUUACAGAAUUUCUAAGUUGAGGGGCAAAAUAGUCAAUUCACUGUUCUAGAUUUUGGGGUGGGAUAUUUGUCUUAUUUUAUUAUUUUCUGAUGACCCGUAGGGCCCACACCCCACGUCUUCCCUAUGUCCUUCCCUCCCUCAAGCUCUGGGACACUCUUGAACUCUCCCUCACCUUUCUUUUCUGCAACUCUCUCCUUCUUCAUUCUUGAGCACGACACACACACACACAUGCAAACAAACAACAACAACAAUGACCUCAUCACCAUCACUCUUUUUUCCCUCAAAUUCACUCAGCUCCCUCUCUCUUCAUCUAGCUUCUCUUUGUACAAGGGAGCACAUCGACAACACCUCGCCAUACUCCCGCAAGCUUCUUGAAUCUUUGACCAAGGUAAACCCCUGGAACCCCAUAGAUUGUGUUUAGUAUUGGAUUAAGGUAGUUUAGGAGUUAAUCAUGCGUGUGGAUGCAGAAAACACUUCGGGAGAAACUUUCUCCAGUUUCCCGCGAGGA
rnacentral:lncRNA from 1 species